AUUGAACGCUGGCGGCAGGCCUAACACAUGCAAGUCGAACGAGUGGCGGACGGGUGAGUAAUGUCUGGGAAACUGCCUGAUGGAGGGGGAUAACUACUGGAAACGGUAGCUAAUACCGCAUACCAUCAGAUGUGCCCAUAUGGGAUUAGCUUGUUGGUGGGGUAACGGCUCACCAAGGCGAAGAUCCCUAGCUGGUCUGAGAGGAUGACCAGCGACACUGGCACGUAGACACGGACCAGAAUACUACGGGAGGCAGCAGUGGGGAAUAUUGCACAAUGGGCGCAAGCCUGGUGCAGCCAUGCCGCGUGUAUGAAGAAGGCCUUCGGGUUGUAAAGUACUUUCAGCUGAGAGGCGUUACCCGCAGGAGAAGCACCGGCUAACUCCGUGCCAGCCGGCGAUGUAAUUC
rnacentral:rRNA from 1 species